rnacentral:sRNA from 1 species
GCGGAUGCUAACGCAAUG